rnacentral:tRNA from 1 species
AUUAAGAUGUCUGAUAAAAGUAAUAAACUGUAAAUUUAUUUAUAAACAUAAGUGUUUUCUUAAUA